rnacentral:rRNA from 1 species
UACGGAGGGGGCUAGCGUUGUUCGGAAUUACUGGGCGUAAAGCGCGCGUAGGCGGACCUGCAAGUCGGGGGUGAAAGCCCGAGGCUCAACCUCGGAACUGCCUUCGAUACUGCGGGUCUCGAGUCCGGGAGAGGUGAGUGGAAUUCCUAGUGUAGAGGUGAAAUUCGUAGAUAUUCGCAAGAACACCAGUGGCGAAGGCGGCUCACUGGCCCGGAACUGACGCUGAGGUGCGAAAGCGUGGGGAGCAAACAGG